rnacentral:rRNA from 1 species
CAGUCGCCACGGUAAUACGUAGGUGGCAAGCGUUGUCCGGAAUUAUUGGGCGUAAAGGGCUCGCAGGCGGUUUCUUAAGUCUGAUGUGAAUGCCCCCGGCUCAACCGGGGAGGGUCAUUGGAAACUGGGAAACUUGAGUGCAGAAGAGGAGAGUGGAAUUCCACGUGUAGCGGUGAAAUGCGUAGAGAUGUGGAGGAACACCAGUGGCGAAGGCGACUCUCUGGUCUGUAACUGACGCUGAGGAGCGAAAGCGUGGGGAGCAAACAGGAUUAGAUACCCCAGUAGUCCCUGUCUCUUAUAC